GUCCUUUCCUCCUCCUCCUUCCCAAUGUUUCAGUCUGAACUUGGGGAAGGAUGUGGCCUGUCUUCAGGCUGAGCUCAGCACACUGUAACCCAUCAGAUCUCCCUGCAGCCAGGCAUGUCUGCUCCCUGCCAAGCCACAGUUAGGAAGGGACCAUGGCAGCUGUGAUCCUGCUCGGCCUUUGCCUGGCAGACAGCAGUUCAACCACUGUCCUCAAGACAUGGGACAAAGCUGCAAAAGGCAGCUACUGGGAGUUGAUGUUCCUUGUCCCCUGACAACCUAUGAGCCCCCUGCCUAGGGAACUUACCCCCACCACUGCCACUUCCCAAUGACCCUGAUGCGCAGUGUAUCUCCUUGAAUCCUGCCUCUGAAGGGACCAGCUUUAUUUGCUUCUAAACCACCAUGAAGUUUUCCUUGGGACUAGCCCUGGAGCCUUCCAGGUACAACCUGUAGCAUCUACCUGAGGAUGGCUGGAGCCUGGCCAGGUUCAUGGAACCUACCGUGUGAGCGCUGGAGGACCCGCUGCACAGGACCUGCACUUCUGUGUCCAAAGACUAGAGGAAACUCCAGCUCAUAGUUUAGGUGAAUUCCAGCUGUUUCUGCCACUGGAGGGACAAUCUUCUCUAAGCCUGGGAGACCCAUCCCCGGGCCUCUCAGCAACAUGGGUGGAUCCUGUCUCUUGGGUGCUCCCUUCUCCCCUGUGCCCCAUGGCUUCCCCGCUGAGACAGAGGGGGAUGUCUGGGGAGUUGGGUAGGAACCACAGCCUGGCCAGACUGGGUGGGCAUGGCCACUGCAUGGAGGCGGAGAAUGGCUUUGGGUGCACCUGUGGGUGUUGGGUGCCUUGAAUUCACGACACCGUGCUUUUACUCAGAAGCACGGCUCCCUGGGUGAUACAGGUCCUGGGAGUCAGGAAGCCUUCAACUUCAUCCUGCGAGUCCUGGGCGGUGACUCCCCUGGCUGGCCAAGCCAACUGCAGCUUUAGCUUUGGGGGUCCAUUUACACUUUUCUCCACGUGGAAACCUGCCAGGGCACCCUGCAGCUGGGGAUGGAGGUUGCGGUGCUGGUGUGAGUAGCCAGACCCACCAAGGCCACCAGCACCUGGCAGUCACAGGACAGGCACGAACCGGAGAGUUCCAUAUGCUCAUGCACUGCCCCAGCUUGGGGGGCUGAGAUUCGGUAUUUCCAACCAGGUCCAGAUGCCGCCUGUGUUUCCGGCUUGCCCAGGGCCUGACUUGAGGAGUGAGAUUUCCGGCUGGUCUGCUCUCUAACAUCCUGUUUCAACACCACCCCGUGGCUUCCUAGGUUCUGUCCUCGUGAGUGUAGCCCAUGGCCCCAAGAUCACACUACUGCCCCCGACAUAGACGCCAGGACACUUCCUGUGACAAAAUCACAGUGACCAGAUGCAUGUAUCCUGAAUGCAGGGUCAUGUGUGUGACUCCAAAUGCCAUCCCAGAUAGCUAAGGCCAGAAAGCCUGGAUCAUCCCAGAUAGCUAAGGCCGGGAAGCCUGGAUGAGGAUAUUGCCGGCCCUGGAGGGGGAAUGAGAACCUGGGUGUGGUGACAGACUCAAGUUUGGAGGAAGGGGAUUUCUAGAAGGCAGGUGCAGAAGAGGGCCCUUAUGUCUGCGGAGAGGUUGGCAAGGCUGGUAGGAGGGUAGGCUGCAUACGCGCAGACGUUUGGCUGGGUCUUUCUGGUGAGCAGAAAAGACUUAAAUAAAAUACUAGUUUCCUUUCCUUCUCAGCAAUUUACAGGUGGGGAAAAAAAUUCUAAUUCAAAAGCAGAGGAUGUGGCCCUUGAGGAAGACCGCGCGCCCCCUGCAGGCCCCAGCUGGCACCGCAGGCAGAUUGGUUGAGAGUAAAUCUUGCCUUGAUGCCCAGCCAACUGUUUGUGACCUGGGCAGGUGCCGGGGAAAACAGGCCAGGGCUGUGAUCCCCGGAAAUGAGUGCAGGAUGAACAGACCAGAGCCUGAGUGGGGUGCAGCGGGGAGCGGGUAAGGAAAAGGAUGUCACGGGGCUCUAGGACUGCUAGGUUUGAGAAAGUUUGGGUUUGAGAAAGACGGGUGGUGGUGUAAUGAUAGGCGCUGAUGAUUGCAGAGCAAAUGAAUACAGCCAAGUGCUUGGAAGCUGGCUGAGCGGUGACCCAGACUGGCCCGAGGAAGAAAUAGUUGUAGAGGACAGAAAUCUUCAACAGCACUGUGUAAAAAGCGACUAGCAAGUGGAGGUCCUCCGUCCACCAGCCUGACUUCCUGCAGAAUUUCCCCAUUUGUCUCAGCCUUUGCAGCUCUGCACACCAUCCCAGGGACUCUCAGGCAUCACUCUCGGGACUUCUCUCAAGCAUGCCUUGGCCUAGGCACUCCUUUUGUGGGCAAACCUUCGGUGGCUCCCUAUUUCCAAGAGAGUAAAAGUCCAAACUAUUUAUCUUAGUUUAGGAGGCUCUACAAAGCCCACUCCUGGCUCUGCCUGCCUUGUCCUCCACUAACGUUGCCCGCACUGCCCUUUCAUCUCUGCCCAGCUAACGCCGUCCAUUAUUCCUGAAUAUUCUACAUGCUUUCUGCCUCUUGCAUGGCCCUUUUGGGCCAACACAACACCAAGUUCCAAUUCCACUUUUUUUUUCUGGUACUGGGGAUCGAAUUCGGGUCCUUGCACUUUCCAGGCAGGCGGUGGAACCACUGAGCUAAAUCCCCGGUCCUCCAGUUCCACUUUUAAGUGGCAGUGCU
rnacentral:lncRNA from 1 species